AUGGUCAAAGGGAGGGCUUGGCAAGAGAGAUUGAGGGAGCUCUACUACCUCGAUCUUGGCAUAGAACCUGAUGGCAUCAUGCCCAGGAAACUUCCUUCUUCAGUAUGUAUGGGGAUUUAUAUGACACCAAAAGAGAAGUCCGGCGUGUUUCUUGGUUCUAUGGAACCCCUCGACCGGAAGCAAAUAGAUCACAUCGCAAGUUGCUUGCCCAAUAUAAUCGUGCCGCAAGUUACCAACAUCGCGUGCUUAUACACCAUCGACUUUGCUGGAAAUCUAUCUGUCCGUGCUCCACCGUCUGUCGGAACUUCUUCUGCCCAUGCUACACCUGAGGUACAUACUACAGUCUCAUCAAUUAAUAAUACCCAAUUGCUUGUCUGUUGCCCAAUGCACUGCAGCUUAAUAUGCAAACCCUGA
rnacentral:rRNA from 1 species